GCUUCCAAGAGUCAAGUUGUUUGGGAUUGCAGCUUAAAAUGGGAGGUAAAUUUCUCCUAAGGCUAAAUAACGGCGAGAGACCGAUAGCGAACAAGUACCGUGAGGGAAAGAUGAAAAGAACUUUGAAAAGAGAGUUAAACAGUACGUGAAAUUGUUGAAAGGGAAACGAUUGAAGCCAGUCGUACCUGCGGGUAAUCAGCCUUUUGGGCAUGAUUCUGUGGAGCGUGAGGAGUUAAACGCCUUCAUGCCUGCAUAUUCGUGUACUUUGGGUGUACUUGCCUGUGUGGUUAGUUAACAUCAAUUUUGGUUAUCAUAAAAUGGUUGGAGGAAUGUAGCUUCGAUUUCGAUUGAAGUGUUAUAGCCUUCGGCAGAUGUGAUGAUCGGGAUUGAGGAUUGCAACGGAUACCCUUCGGGGCUACCUGCCUGAUCUCUGAUCGUUGCUCUGGUGCCGAAAGCGUGCUUACGGUUAUCAAAGUCGAUGGUUAAUAGGUUAGAAUGGGUUAAAUUCGUUAAGGAUGUUGACGUAAUG
rnacentral:rRNA from 1 species